rnacentral:rRNA from 1 species
UACAGAUCGUGUGAAUCAUCGAAUCUUUGAACGCAACUUGCACUCGGCGCGCAGCAAUGUGAGCCGAGUAUGCCUGUUUGAGUAUUGAUAUUUUUAUGCCCCUCUUGAAAUGUGAAUUUCGUGGGGGCGAAUAUGAGGUUUCCAAGCAGCAAUGUUUGAAUCUCCAACUACGGCGUCAUGCAUGGUGCGAUGAAUUUAUUUGCUUCUCCAUGCAUGCCACAUCACAUUCGUGUGAUUAACACCUCAAUCUCAAAUCAGGUAGGAUUACCCGCUGAACUUAAGCAUAUCAAUAAGCGGAGG